GUCCGUAAAGGUGGAUGAGUGGUGUUUGGUUUGUCACGUGUGGUUGGCUGCGGCGUUUGCAACAACUUCCAUGCUUUCAGACCUCUUCAGUUGUGCGGCAAGGCUUGUAUCGCCWUGCCGUAUCGUGGGUUUUCUGUGUUGAAUACCUAAUCAAUGGUAUCGGUUGGAUUGAUAAAUGUGUCAUUUCGUCUGUCGUCGCAUUCGCGGCGUGAGACGAACCUUGAUGCGGUCUCUUUGGCCCACCUCGUCGAAGCACAUGCUUUGACGUUGUGGCACAUUGAGCAUUGCUUGGUCUCUUGUAUACGGAACAUAUAGUGGGCAUGGAUCUAACGAUUCUUGUUUGCCCUCAUGUUAGCGUAACGCUUCUCUUACACGACUUGCUCCACGUUUUAGCUCGUACGGACGUGGU
rnacentral:misc_RNA from 1 species